AGAUUGAACGCUGGCGGCGUGCCUAACACAUGCAAGUCGAGCGGUAACAGGUGUAGCAAUACAUGCUGACGAGCGGCGAACGGGUGAGUAAUGCUUUGGAAUCUUCCCAGUAGUGGGGAAUAACCAGUCGAAAGAUUGGCUAAUACCGCAUACGUCUGUAAAGGGAAAGCGGGGGCUCGUAAGACCUCGCGCUAUUGGAUGAGCCAAAGUCGGAUUAGCUAGUUGGUGGGGUAACGGCCUACCAAGGCGACAAUCCGUAGCUGGUCUGAGAGGACGACCAGCCACACCGGAACUGAGACACGGUCCGGACUCCUACGGGAGGCAGCAGUGGGGAAUAUUGGACAAUGGGGGAAACCCUGAUCCAGCGACGCCGCGUGUGUGAAGAAGGCCUGCGGGUUGUAAGCACUUUUAGUGGGGACAAAAGCUACGGAUUAAUACUCUGUGGUCUUGAUUUAACCCAAAGAAAAGCACCGGCUAACUCUGUGCCAGCAGCCGCGGU
rnacentral:rRNA from 1 species